CCUACGGGAGGCAGCAGUGAGGAAUAUUGGUCAAUGGGCGAGAGCCUGAACCAGCCAAGUCGCGUGAGGGAGUACUGCCCUAUGGGUUGUAAACCUCUUUUGUCGGGGAGCAAAAGCCGGACGUGUCCGGCUGUGAGAGUACCCGAAGAAAAAGCAUCGGCAAACUCCGUGCCGGCAGCCGCGGUAAUACGUAGGAUGCCAGCGUUAUCCGGAUUUAUUGGGUUUAAGGGGGGCGCAGGCGGAUUAUUAAGUCAACGGUAAAAUCGGGGGGCUAAACCCCAUCCAGCCGUUGAAACGGGGGGUCGAGAGUGUGCGAGAGGUAUGCGGAAUGCGUGGUGUAGCGGUGAAAGGCAUAGAGAUCACGCAGAACACCGAUUGCGAAGGCAGCAUACCGGUGCACAACUGACGCUCAGGCACGAAAGCGUGGGUAUCGAACAGGAUUAGAUACCCGUGUAGUC
rnacentral:rRNA from 1 species